GUGUCAGCCGCCGCGGUAAUACAGAGGUGGCAAGCGUUGUUCGGAAUUACUGGGCGUAAAGGGCGCGUAGGCGGCCUUGUAAGUCCCGUGUGAAAGCCCCCGGCUCAACUGGGGAAUUGCACGGGAAACUGCGGGGCUUGAGUUCGGGAGAGGGAAGCGGAAUUCCGGGUGUAGCGGUGAAAUGCGUAGAUAUCCGGAGGAACACCAGUGGCGAAGGCGGCUUCCUGGACCGACACUGACGCUGAGGCGCGAAAGCUAGGGGAGCAAACGGGAUUAGAAACCCGCGUAGUCC
rnacentral:rRNA from 1 species